GAAAUGCGAUAAGUAAUGUGAAUUGCAGAAUUCAGUGAAUCAUCGAAUCUUUGAACGCACAUUGCGCCCGCCAGUAUUCUGGCGGGCAUGCCUGUCCGAGCGUCAUUUCAACCCUCGAACCCCUCCGGGGGGUCGGCGUUGGGGAUCGGCCCCUCACCGGGCCGCCCCCGAAAUACAGUGGCGGUCUCGCCGCAGCCUCUCCUGCGCAGUAGUUUGCACACUCGCACCGGGAGCGCGGCGCGGCCACAGCCGUAAAACACCCCAAACUUCUGAAAUGUUGACCUCGGAUCAGGUAGGAAUACCCGCUGAACUUAAGCAUAUCAAUAAGCGGAGGA
rnacentral:rRNA from 1 species